ACCAGGAUGGCCGAGUGGUUAAGGUGUUGGACUUAAGAUCCAAUGGGCGCAUGCCCUCUAGGUUUGAACCCCACUCUUGGUA
rnacentral:tRNA from 1 species